AAGUCACUGUCCCACUCCAUGAGAACCGGUCACUCUCUUUGAGCCUCCAGUUGAAGGGAACUAAAUUAAUCUAGGAUGACCCAUAUUGUGCAGCAGCUAAUGACCCAGUUCACCUCUGGUUAAUUUUCUGCUUCUGGGUGUCCUGGGAACGGGUGGUGUUUACUCCAGUUGGGACAAACCUUUAUUAAUGAGCCAGAGUGUUGGCUGCUCUGGGCGGAGUGUUUUAAUAGAAAUCGGCCAAUGGGCCAGGGCGUGCUGAAGUUGCAGAAUAUGAAUGAGGCCCUUUUCUUUGCCCUCUCUCUCUUCCACCCUGAUUUGCAUAACUAAGCUUUCUGCCUUUUUAUCUUUUUAAUGUGUUUGUUUGUUGAUUAUUGAUCUGUCCCCUAUGGAGGGACAAAUCAUUCGCCCACCAGGCAGUGACCUAAAUUUGGCAGAAGCCCCAGCCAUGUCUGCAGCAAACUGGAGCCAGACAGUUAUACUUGUAUUUGUAGGGACAAUUCCAGGAGAAUUUAUAUGGCCCAAGGUUGUAAUGAUCAAAAUUACACUGGCCUCCAGCAGACUCAUUAAGGGGAAUCUUGGCAAAGGAAGACUUGAUGAGUAAGAAGAAAAGAAAAGAUCCUCUUUCAUGGUCGCAGCUCAAGUGUCACCUCCUCUGAGAAGCUUUUCACAACCGCCCUGUCCAAAGGAGAACAGAAGCUGCAUGAAGACAGGGGUCUCAUCUGCCUUGGACAUCACUGAAUCCUAUGCACGGAGCACAAUGCCUGGAACGGGAGGAGCUCAAUGGUUACUGGUUGAAUUAAUACACUGAGGAAAUGGAUCAGCUGUAGACAACCUUACUUUGUUCUCUCAUAUCUCUUUCCCACCUGCUGGCCCUGCCUUUCCAUUUAAAUCCAGAGCCAAGCACACAUUCCUUACUAUAUAUUUUUUUGUACUGAUUAAAAUGUUUCAUAAACUU
ensembl:lncRNA novel transcript